AUUACAAAUAUUACACAUUAAUAUUCUUUCUCAUCUUCCUUCUCAUCUUACUCAUUUUUCUAAAGUUCCUGAAGUUCAUAAGAAAGCAGUUCCUAAAGAGAAAGUACCUGUCCCUGUGCCUAAAAAAAUGGAGGCUCCACAAGCAAGAGAACCUGCAGAAGAACGGGUGCCCACUUUUGAGAUAGAAGUUGAAGAACCUCCAUCAACCAGAGUGACUGAAGUGCACAGGAAAAUUAUCACAGAAGAAAAAGUUGCAGUUGCUAAAAAAGAGGAGGCUCCACCGAAAAGAGUGCCUGAAGUACGCAAGACAGUUGUCCGAAAAGAAAAAGUAUAUGUUGAAGUUCCUCAGUAUGAAGAGGAAGAAGAGAUUCCAACAUACGAAGAGGAAGAAGCCACCAGAUAUGAGAAGGAAGUAAUCCAUUACAAGGAGGAAGUCCACCAUUAUGAAGAAGUUAGUCACUAUGAGGAGGAAGUUCCUCAGUAUGAGGAAGUUCCUCAAUAUGAAGAGGAAGAAGUCACCCAUUAUGAAGAAGAAGCUGCUUAUUAUGAAGAAGAAAUUCCCGAAUAUGAGGAGGAAGAGUCAGAAGUUCCCCAGUAUGAAGAGGAGGCUCCCCCACCAGUUAGAGGUAUACUUUAAUUUUAGGAUUUGUGUGAGAAAAA
rnacentral:lncRNA from 1 species